AGCGAACGCUGGCGGCAGGCUUAAUACAUGCAAGUCGAGCGGGCAUCCUUGUGGUGUCAGCGGCAGACGGGUGAGUAACGCGUGGGAACGUGCCCUUCGGUUCGGAAUAACUCAGGGAAACUUGAGCUAAUACCGGAUACGUGCGAGAGCAGAAAGGUUUAUCUGCCGAAGGAUCGGCCCGCGUCUGAUUAGCUAGUUGGUGAGGUUAUGGCUCACCAAGGCGACGAUCAGUAGCUGGUCUGAGAGGAUGAUCAGCCACACUGGGACUGAGACACGGCCCAGACUCCUACGGGAGGCAGCAGUGGGGAAUAUUGGACAAUGGGGGCAACCCUGAUCCAGCCAUGCCGCGUGAGUGAUGACGGCCUUAGGGUUGUAAAGCUCUUUUCUUCGGGACGAUAAUGACGGUACCGGAGGAAUAAGCCCCGGCUAACUUCGUG
rnacentral:rRNA from 1 species